GCGCAUCGACGGUCGCAGUGGGAGCAGAGGCUGCGCGCAGCCUGGACACCUGCCCCACGCCCUCCUGGAGCCCGGCAUUGAGUCCAGAACCGGGUUGUGGCGGUGGCUGGAGACUUGGAACCCUUGGUGGGAGGGGCCUCCCCUCUUCCGGGACCUGCAGCGCGGACCUCGGCACCCCGCGGAGAUCUGUCCUCGGAAGCGGCGCUUUGGGGACUGGGCGUGACUAGACCCGAAGGAUUUGCUGAGCUUGCGGCGCGCACCUGCCUGGGCGCGAAAGGGCGCGCGGGCCCCCAGCCUGGCCACCCACGUGACUCUGCCCCCCCGCUGGACACGCUGGAGGGGCCUGGGCAGGGGCGCUUUCCAUCCGUGGGGCGGUGCGGGCGGGGGAGCAGGAUGGAGGGGACUGGACAACUGGGCCCGGUUCCUUUUGCUUACUCUUUGUUUCAGCCCCUUUUCAUUGACUGGGCACUUCCUUGCAGGGGAGUUGUGUUUCCUUAAAAUGGCGACAGGAAAUCCCACCUGCGCGCCAGCCACCAAUUAGACUGUCAUCAUAGAGCGAAUUUGCGGGGCGGAAACUCGAGCUUUUUAUUGACAGGAAUGGUUCAGUCUCCGUGUUCCAUCAAAACAGGAAAGGGAAGCACCACCGGAAAAGCGAGAAGAUAGCCAAAUUUCCCAACCCUCAUAACUAAAAUCCUGUUGCCGUGGAAUGGCAGUAAAUGAUCUUCUUUAGCUCAACAAUGGCUUCCUGAGAACCCCAUUUAGGAGGAAUGCUUUUGAAUAAACCUGAGAAACUGAACAGUCAUUGCCAACAGAAGAGGGUAAAACGAUGGGCAGCCUAUCUCAGACAGACCUGCCAUCAAAAUCUAUCUGACAGUUAUUGCUUCCUUCACCCACUUUUGUCCUUAUCCUGUUCCCCACUUUGUUAAAAAAAAAGGGGGGGGGUAAUAGGACCCACAUCAUAGUAAUAUUCUACAAGUUAUCAAAAAGUUGAUUCUCCCCCUCUCCCCUUUCCAUCCUAGAAGCAGCUCAUUUAGUAUAAAAUUACUCAUUUUAAGUAGUGUGCAUCUUGCCUGACUGGCACCAUAAUUCUUAUGAAAAACUAAGAAGUCUGAAUAGGCAAAGUAGGUAAACUAUGGUCACAGGUCCAUAAGCCUGUUGAAAUGUUUACCUUAUUAAACAGAAUGUAUAUUCACUAAUGUUGGUUUGCAGAGCUUAUCUUUUUUUAAAAUAUACUUUAUUGAUUUUUUACAGAGAGG